GCCGGGUGCGGUGGCGCGCGCCUGUAAUCCAAGCUACCGGGAGGCUGAGGCUGGCGGAUCGUUUGAGCUCAGGAGAUCUGAGCUGCAGCGGACUAUGCCGAUCGGGUGUCCACACUAAGUUCGGUAUCGAUAUGGUGCUCCUGGGGGAGCCCGGGACUACCAGGUCGUCUAAGGAGGGGUGCACCGGCCCAGGUCGGAAACGGAGCAGGCCAAAGCCCCCGUGCCGCUCAGUAGUGGGAUCGCGCCUGUGAAUAGACGCUGUAGUGCAGCCUGAGUAAUACAGCGGGACCCAGUCUCUU
rnacentral:SRP_RNA from 1 species